rnacentral:rRNA from 1 species
UACGUAGGGUGCAAGCGUUGUCCGGAAUUAUUGGGCGUAAAGAGCUCGUAGGCGGCCUGUCACGUCGGCUGUGAAAACCCGGGGCUCAACCCCGGGCCUGCAGUCGAUACGGGCAGGCUAGAGUUCGGCAGGGGAGACUGGAAUUCCUGGUGUAGCGGUGAAAUGCGCAGAUAUCAGGAGGAACACCGGUGGCGAAGGCGGGUCUCUGGGCCGACACUGACGCUGAGGAGCGAAAGCGUGGGGAGCAAACAGG